AGCUGGGCCUUCCCUCAAAUGACCCGUGCAUUUGGGUAAAACACACUUGUGAAGGAAUUAGUGGCAUUCAUUGAUGACUUUUGCCUGCUUUGGAAAAAUCAGGGUCUAGUGUUCUGGAACAAUUUUGUUUUCGAGCAGUAUCAAACAACUUUGGGGUUUCAAAUAAUUCAGCAGUUUGCAGCAAAGGGCUUGUUGACAGCUAUAUAAUUGUAUGACACCGACCAUGAUUUUUCCCCUCCUAAUAGCUGCGUCCUCUUUGUAACGGUGCCAACUUUGGCUACUUGUUAACAGAGAUACCAAUAAUGAACAAAGUUGGAAUUGUGUUGGUGAAAACCAAUGUUAAGCCCUGCUGGUCAAAAAUUCAGUCACAAAUUGUGUCUCACUUUCUACUGAAGGAGAUCCAAAUCAUUAAACCAAGAACAGUCUUGCCUUAUGUGUUGUUCCUGCUGGUUUUUGAGACCGUGUGUUUUCCAGGGGGCAAUUAAUUUGCUUCAUUUAUAAGAAAGAGAGUUUCUCAUCUACAUUACGGUCGACGUGUACCAGAGCCCUCUCGAUGCAAAGCAACUGGGCUAAGGGUCAAAGAAAAUGAACCAGAUUAAUUCCCCACUGUCAUUUGAUAAUCUAAAACCAGCAUGUGAGUUCCCUGAUCUUCCAGUGUUUCCGAACCUUUAUGCUUGUGAUCUGCAACAGGAAAUAUGGGAUGCUUCCCCAUUUCAGCAGUUCAUGUAAACUCUGUUACAUAGUCCUUCUGAUGUCAGGUUACAUAUGUAAUUUUUCACCAGCUCUUUACUAAUUUUCCAUCCUGAGCACACGGUAUCCUUUUUUAUAUCCCCAUAAGUAGGAGUGGGUGAACAUGGGAAGCGCUAACAAGAUCGGCCACAGACCAUUCGAGGAAAGCCAACAGAAUCACACCCAAGGGCAUGUACCCAUAAGCGGAAUUGCUGGAUUGUAAGGUGUUUCUGUGGUUAAGUUUUUGAAGAACCGCCAGACUGGUUUGCCCAGCAGCUGUAGCUGCUUCAUUUUACAUUCCCACCAGCAGUGUGUGAGGGUCCUUGGUGUUGGCGUAUGGCUCCUGAGAGUUUCGAGUGGGUCCCUCUUCCAGGCC